AGGAGCAUAAAGGACUCAGAAAGUCCUGCCCGAACUCUUUGCAUCUCACCCUCAUAUCCGCUGUUCUGAUUUGUGUAAAUCUUGCUUGCUACGUUCCCAGGGAAACUCCUAUGAAAGCUGGCAUUCCCACAUGGCAAGAGCUUGCUGGGCUGGGAUUAAGAAGCAGCUGUGCUCUGCAGACUGUGCUGAGGAUCAAACCCAGGGCCUCGUGGGCAUUCUAGGCAAGGUCUCUACCACUGUGCUGCAUCUUCAGCCCUAUUUUAUGGCAAUACAGGAUUUAUUAUGUGAACAUUUUAGAAAUGGAAGAAUGAUGUCAAAGAUUUAUUGAACUUAUUAGUGAGGGAAUCAGCAAGAUGAUAAAACAAAUGUAUUUAUAAUCACAGAGAUAAGACGCUACUGAUAACAAUGCUGCUUAGUGUCCUAAGUGACAAUAAAACUAUUUUUGG